rnacentral:rRNA from 1 species
ACUCCUACGGGAGGCAGCAGUGGGGAAUAUUGCACAAUGGGCGCAAGCCUGAUGCAGCAACGCCGUGUGAGUGAAGAAGGUUUUCGGAUCGUAAAACUCUGUCCUAAGGGAAGAAACAAAUGACGGUACCUUAGGAGGAAGCCCCGGCUAACUACGUGCCAGCAGCCGCGGUAAUACGUAGGGGCAAGCGUUAUCCGGAAUCACUGGGGCGUAAAGGGUGCGUAGGCGGCUUAGCAAGCCAGGGGUGAAAGGCAUUGGCUCAACCAAUGUAAGCCUUUGGAACUGUUAAGCUUGAGUGCAGGAGAGGUAAGUGGAAUUCCUAGUGUAGAGGUGAAAUUCGUAGAUAUUAGGAGGAACACCAGUGGCGAAGGCGACUUACUGGACUGUAACUGACGCUGAUGCACGAAAGCGUGGGUAGCGAACAGGAUUAGAUACCCUGUAGCACAGAG